rnacentral:lncRNA from 1 species
GGUCGCGUCUCGGAGGGCGCGCGCGCGCGCGCGCGCAGCGGGGGCACCCGCGAGGAGGGUCCCGAGAAGGGGACAGAGAGACCCGCGGCCGACCGCCCCGGGCCGCCCCCCCUUGCCCGCGCACCAACACAGCACACCCCUACCGACCACCGCCUACCACCCGUCGCCCCCUCCGGGAGGAGGAGGCGGCGGCGGCGGGGGCGGGGGCGGCGGCGGCCGCGGGCGGCGGACAGAGAGGGAGACACCGAGGCGGGGCGGGACGGGGAGCACGAGCCGGCGGUCACGGGACGGACGGGGCGGGGACCGGCGGAGAGGCGGCCCGGGUUGGGGAGGGGGCGGGUCGGGGCACGCACGGGCGCCGAAGCCCGAACGGGCGACGGACGCACCGCGCGCCCCCUACCACCCCCCCCCCCCUCACCACGCUACCGCCACCGCCACCGCCCUCGCGGCGGGAGCUCCGGGGCGCGAACCGCGGCACGGCCGCAGCCCGGGGGGAGAGCGCGCAGCGGCGGGCAGACGCCGCGGCGUCCCGCGGGUCGCCGCCGGGGCACGCGUCCCCGGGGCGCGGACGCGCACGCGGACUCGGCCUCGGGCGCGAGCCGCCCGUCCCGACGGGGCGCGAGCCGCGUGGGGGGCGGGAAGCGGGCACGGGCCGCGGGCACACGGCGGGAAAGGCACCGCAGGGGGAAGGCGGGGGGCGGAGGGCCGCGCCGGCCGGGCGCCGGCAAACACCACCGCCAAGGGCGGGACGGCGAACGACGGCGGACCGGAGGGCGCGACCCCACCCCCGCCACCACCGCGGGCCCCCGCCGGGUGGCGCGAGACCGUCCCCAGCCCCCCGACACCCCAGGGGCGGUGACACCCGAAGGCCGCUUGCGGCGCGAGGAAGCUCUCGAAGGGGAGACCGACCACACAGGCCCCGGCAGGCCAGGGGCCUCGGCGCGAGCUCACGUCCCCUCUUCUCCCCUCUCGCGGGCGACGUCCCCCCGGCCACAGAGGCGGGGGGGGGGGGACGCCGUGUCUGCACUUAGGGGGACGGAGGGCCCAGAGGCCCUGCGAGGACAGCCCCCAGCCACGCGCCCCCCGGGGAGGCGCGCACAGGACACGCGCACCCCGGAGGGGCGAUUGAUCGUCAAGCGACGCUCAGACAGGCGUAGCCCCGGGAGGAACCCGGGGCCGCAAGUGCGUUCGAAGUGUCGAUGA